rnacentral:tRNA from 1 species
AAGGAAGACCUAAUUCGAGUAUAAGACGAAAAAAGAGUAGUCGAAACCAAGAAUCAAUCCCAAAAGGUCGGAACGAGGUAUGUGGCUUUCAAACUAGGUUCUGGGUUCACACAAGACCUGAAUCAGGAACAAGGGCUAUUAGCUCAGGUGGUUAGAGCGCACCCCUGAUAAGGGUGAGGUCCCUGGUUCGAGUCCAGGAUGGCCCACCUGCACAGGUGGCAAAAACAAAGAAGCGAGGAAUCAGCACCUUAUCUUAUCUAUAUAUAAGAGAGAAUGCUGGCUCUGAGUAAAGAGUCCAGAGGAACCUUGAAAACUGCAUAGAGCUAGGUGAAAAAGCCAAAAAAGAAGACCGCAA